rnacentral:rRNA from 1 species
AGAGUUUGAUCCUGGCUCAGAAUGAACGCUGGCGGCAGGCUUAACACAUGCAAGUCGAACGGGAUUAUGUUGUAGCUUGCUAUAAUAUAACCUAGUGGCAGACGGGUGAGUAAUGUAUAGGAAUCUACCUAGUAGUACGGAAUAAUUAUUGGAAACGAUAACUAAUACCGUAUACGCCCUACGGGGGAAAGAUUUAUUGCUAUUAGAUGAGCCUAUAUUAGAUUAGCUAGUUGGUGGGGUAAUGGCCUACCAAGGCAGUGAUCUAUAGCUGAUCUGAGAGGAUGAUCAGCCACACUGGAACUGAGAUACGGUCCAGACUCCUACGGGAGGCAGCAGUGGGGAAUAUUGGACAAUGGGCGAAAGCCUGAUCCAGCCAUGCCGCAUGAGUGAAGAAGGCCUUCGGGUUGUAAAGCUCUUUUAGUGAGAAAGAUAAUGACGGUACUCACAGAAGAAGUCCUGGCUAACUCCGUGCCAGCAGCCGCGGUAAUACGGAGAGGGCUAGCGUUAUUCGGAAUUAUUGGGCGUAAAGAGCGCGUAGGCUGAUUAGUAAGUUAAAAGUGAAAUCCCAGAGCUUAACUUUGGAAUUGCUUUUAAAACUGCUAAUCUAGAGAUUGAAAGAGGAUAGAGGAAUUCCUAGUGUAGAGGUGAAAUUCGUAAAUAUUAGGAGGAACACCAGUGGCGAAGGCGUCUAUCUGGUUCAAAUCUGACGCUGAGGCGCGAAGGCGUGGGGAGCAAACAGGAUUAGAUACCCUGGUAGUCCACGCUGUAAACGAUGAAUGUUAAAUAUGGGAAGUUUACUUUCUGUAUUACAGCUAACGCGUUAAACAUUCCGCCUGGGGACUACGGUCGCAAGAUUAAAACUCAAAGGAAUUGACGGGGACCCGCACAAGCGGUGGAGCAUGUGGUUUAAUUCGAUGCAACGCGAAAAACCUUA